rnacentral:rRNA from 1 species
UACGGGGGGGGGCAAGCGUUUGUUCGGAAUUACUGGGCGUAAAGGGUUUGUAGGUGGCUUGUUAAGUCAGACGUGAAAUCCCCUCAGCUUAACUGGGGAACUGCGUCUGAUACUGGCGAGCUUGAGUGCAGGAGAGGAACGCGGAAUUCCAGGUGUAGCGGUGAAAUGCGUAGAUAUCUGGAGGAACACCGGUGGCGAAGGCGGCGUUCUGGACUGCAACUGACACUGAUAAAACGAAAGCCAGGGUAGACAA